GCCGACAUAGCUUAGUUGGUGGAGCGGUGGACUGUUAAUCCACAGGUCGCAGGUUCGAGUCCUGCUGUCGCCGCCA
rnacentral:tRNA from 1 species